rnacentral:lncRNA from 1 species
UUUGAUUAGCAAAUUGGGUUUGACUUGAUUUUAACUACAAUACACACCUCGGUAUUCUCCUUCCUGUAGUUGUAUUGUUUUCUUUGCUCAAUAAAUAAAAUAUAUGGAAUGAGUAUNNNNNNNNNNNNNNNNNNNNNNNNNNNNNNNNNNNNNNNNNNNNNNNNNNNNNNNNNNNNNNNNNNNNNNNNNNNNNNNNNNNNNNNNNNNNNNNNNNNNNNNNNNNNNNNNNNNNNNNNNNNNNNNNNNNNNNNNNNNNNNNNNNNNNNNNNNNNNNNNNNNNNNNNNNNNNNNNNNNNNNNNNNNNNNNNNNNNNNNNNNNNNNNNNNNNNNNNNNNNNNNNNNNNNNNNNNNNNNNNNNNNNNNNNNNNNNNNNNNNNNNNNNNNNNNNNNNNNNNNNNNNNNNNNNNNNNNNNNNNNNNNNNNNNNNNNNNNNNNNNNNNNNNNNNNNNNNNNNNNNNNNNNNNNNNNNUUCAGGCCGCCAACACUUUCUGGGGUUCCCAGGGAUGAAACGCUGCGAAUGGGCCACGUAGAAACUUGCACUGAACUUAAGAAAUUUUUUGCUGCUCUUGUGAAGCAACCCAAGUCUUCUGUACCAUUAUUGGAUACCAUCAACCUCCAAUAUGAUGCAUCAGUCAUUCCAGAAGCUUCCAGAGAAGUGGAUACCAUAUCGAACAUAAAUGAGCAAAGCAAUCCUCAUGUCCCUUUAUUGGACGCUGUCAACCUACCAGAUGAUGCUUCAGUUAUUCCAGAAGCCUCUAGAGAAGCAUAUACAACUUCCAGCGCUCAUGAGCAAAAAAAGUCGGUUUUAGACCUUCCAGGUGAUGGUUUAAUCGUUCCAGAAGCUUUGGUAGAAGUAGAUAAUGCUUCCAUAUGUCAUGAAGAAGGCCAGCCAGUGGUUUUUCCACAAGAUAGUUCAGUAUUUCCAGAAGCUGCGAAAGAAGUUGAAACUGUUUCGAAUAGUCAUGAACAAAGGAAGCCAGUUGUCAAGAUUAGAGUUAAACAGCCUGCUGCAUCCAGUAGGGCGGAGGAUGCUGAUAAUGCAACAGUUGAAAAAUCCCAGGGUGGGCGUUAUGAUGCUGAUUGUGGAGGCAGUAGUUCCAUCUCUGUGGAUGCACCACAAAGAAAUUUUACAGAGACGGUCAGUGUAAGUAAUCAAAACCUUGAGGAUGUAAAUUCGUGCCAUGAUGUUGGGUCUCGGGUGACUGCCAGCAUUGGAAGUGCCAAGCUAGCUAGUGACGGUGAUGAACUUCAGAAGGAACUCCAGUGCACCGCUGAUUCAAGCAAAGUUUCUGUAUUAUCACCACCUGAAGAUCGGUUAUUGCCUGUUAUCAUGAGAACCAAUGAUGAGACAGAAAAUCAUAAAUUUGCCAGUCUUCAGGCAAUUUCUGGGAUAAGAAAUGGUCUCGAUAGUGGUUUAUUGGUGGUGGAGAACCCUCAUGUGUGUAGUAAAGAGAAAGAAAAGAAAUCCAAAGAAAAAAAACGAAAGAGACACGACCACAAAGGCAGCCGUGAUGAUCCAGAGUACAUUGAACGAAAGCGUCUGAAGAAGGAAAAGAAGCAGAAAGCAAAGGAGAUUGCAAAACUUCAGAGUAGGGAGGCGACUCCAUCUUUAGUGGACUUGCAAAACAAAAGAGAGAAAUCUAGAGUUAGACUAGAAUCGGUUAGCCAGGAGGCCAAGACGAAUGUAAUUGAGAUGUAUAGGAUGAAUGAAGAUUCUGAAACUAGGUUGGCAGUAGAGGGAGGAGUGCAAAAACCGACUCCCUUGGAGCUGCAUAGUAGGAAAGAGGAUCUUCCAACUAAAACGGCGACUGUGCAAAUUAAAUUGGGUGAACCCAGUGGAUCUAAAGAAGUGAUAAAGGGGAUGGAUACCAGUGUUAAGGGGCCAGAAGUUGGCUCGUCUCAUAAGAUUAAAAUUAAGCUAAAACGUAGAACAGGAAACAAACCGUAAUGCUUCUUUUAAUGCAAAAUGUAUUCAUUAGUUUCAUGAGGUUGUCUGUAAAUUUGUAUUUGACGAAUCUGAAGAGAGAUAAUCUUUGGCCUGGAUGCAGCUGAUAAAAGGAAUUGAAUUUCCUUUUGAUAAUUUUUUAUUUCUAAAUUUUAGGGGUUUUUUUGGGUACAUUUUAAUGGGAGGUGAGUAAGGUAUUCUAAACUCUGCGAGAUUGAUUUCCGAUGUGCAUUUUAGAGUGAAAGCAAAUUUAGCUUUUCACUUGGGGUUAACACUUGAAAUCUUAUUAAUUGGUGAAGUACUUUGGAAAGUUGAUGUCGAGUUCUUCCAUAUGCUGUUGUAAUUAUCCAAAAGCUCUAAUGACCUUGUUAACCCGUGCAAUAUGGUAGAAUGAGUUAGUAGUCAAAUGUGAGCUUUGUUUGAUUCAUUGAUUCUAGUGUUUUAUUUAAUUAAGUGUAGAUACACCCGAAUAUUAUUUUUAAAAUAAAUUUAAUUUCAAUUUUAAUAUUGUAAAUGUACUUGAGAAAAUGGAAUUUGUGGUUUGUCAUACUCAAAUUUGGCCGCAUAUACACUUAUUGAUGGUAUUUUUGUUUUUUCAUAGUUCUAUUAAUGACAUUAUAUACGCAUUUCACUUUUUUAAUAUUAAUGCUAUGUUGUUUAAACUUUCUGAUAUACUUGACCGCAUGCUUGAAUGAGUUGAUCGUCUGGAUCGUUUUUAGCAAAGUUACAAGGGUGGAACUCUUUCGAUACCUUAACUUAACGCCUAUAAAGAGACGAGAAUCUUGGUACAAUCGAUCAAGUAAUGAAUUCUGCAUUGAAUGGAAUAUCAAUGACACCUUGAUCCCUCGCUUAUAUGUAAGCGGUAACUUUGGUACAAUCAACGAUUGAUGCGGUAGAAAACGUCACACACAACUAUGUAUUGUUGUAUAGUGAGUCAAUAUUGAAUCUCAAGAAAACUAAGAACUAGUCUAGUAAUUCUGAAAGAAUCAAAAGAUUGAGAAAAACCUUACAAAAUCGAUUUUAUUAAAUAAUUUGAAUUGUUUCAAUUACAUCAACUUUAUCCUUUAUUUGUACUACUUAAAAUAGUCCUAAUCUUAAAAAUAAAAGAAAUAAAUUACAUAACAAUCCAACUUAAAAUUAGAAUGAAAAACCUAACUAAAUAAAAUCUUAAUUACAUUCUAGAAUUCAAGAAUCAGAUUGAAAAUUGAAAUUGAAUCGCAUAAUUUCCGUAUACUAGAACUUUCCUUGACACGUUCGGAUUGUAAUGGCCGCGUGAAUUCUAUGUGAAUUGAAUAAGAAUGCCGCCCACGUUGGCAUACAAGAAUAUAUACUCCCUCCAUCCCAUAAUAUAUGACGUUUUAGAAUUGUGCACAAGAAUUAAGGAAAUAGUUGAAAAACAUUAAAUAUAGUAUCAAUUGUCUAUAAUACCCUUAAAUUCUCAUUUAUUAUCAUACUUAUUUUAUACUAUCUCUCAUCUGUAACAUUUUCCCAUGAGGGAUAAUUUUGAAAAAAUUAUAAUUAAUUCUCCUAAAUUUUUUAAAACGUCAAAUAAUCUGAGACAAAUAAAAUCACCUAAAACUUCAUAUAUUAUGGGAUAUGAGGAGUAAUAUGAAGCUCAAGUAACUUCAUAGUUGCUGCUGAAUAUAAAUAUAAUAUGUGGCCCCACAUAAUAUAUAUAUAUAUAUAUAUAUAUAUAUAUAUAUAUAUAUAUAUAUAUGUAUAUAUAUACACACACACAGUAACUCAGAUUAAUGGAUGCAAUUAUUUAAAUAUAUGAGUCAUAGAACCCUAGAUCUACAAUAAAAUAUGCACUAAAUAUUUGGGGAUUGGAGUUUAGAAAGAAAUUUUAAAAAAUUAGGGAUUGAAGAUUUAAGAAAUUACUAAUUAGAGUUUGUUUAAAUAAAUAAGGACUACAGAUUGAAGGAUAGCAACAAAAUAUGAAAUCAAACAAGAAAAUAUAAAGAGAAAAACAUAUUACAUAACCUGUUUAGAACUUAUCGCAAAAAGAAGAGCCAACGUGGGGGUGGAGAAAGAAGAAUUUGGGUUGAGAACAGGAGAUGGAAGAUUGAGGCGUAUGAUUAAUGAAGAACAGAAGAAGAUAAUAGACUACACCAACAAAUAUACUAAUCUUGGACUUCACAAUCUGACAUCCACUUAUAUGGAGGCCAUCGGGGUUUAGUGUUUACAUUCUGUUUUUAAGUUUUAAGUUUUGAUUAGUUUUGUAUUUAAUUUAGAUUCUUAGAAUAUCUAAUAAUCAAACUAUAUAAGACUUGUUUAGGAAUAGGAUAUAAUAUAUUUCAUAUUAUUAUAUAUAUUAAAUUAGUAGUAGUGGUCAAUAUUAUUAGUUAUUUAUUUCAUGAUUAGUCUAAUACUACUUUCAAGUAACCCAAAAAAAAGGAGGAAGAUAUUACUAUUUUCGUAAUUAAUUAAUUGUUUUCAUAUUUUUGCAUUUUUUGCUUUUAGGUGAAACAAAAGGAAAAAAGUACUUCAUCUAUUUCAUAAAGAGUCUUAUUUUAGAUUUUUUUAUGAUGAAAUUGUAAAAUUCUAAUAAUUAAAAUAAUGUGAAUUUAGUUGAUUUAGUUUAAUUCAAUAUUUAAUAGACUAAUAUUAUUAACCUUGAAAUGUAUUAGUACCAAAUACAGGGCGGAUCCAGCCCCUUGGUUCAGUGGGGUUAAAUUUGAAAAAAAAAAUCAAUAAAAAUAAAAGUAUAAUACAAUAAAUCACAAAAUUAAGUAAUGCUCAUAUAUUGUUUACAAUAAUAUUUUUCGAGACUCCAUAACUAGAAAUUGUUGUAUGAUAGCCUCAUUUUUUAAUAGCUACAAAAAUAUCAUAUUCAAUAAUGUAAGUUACUAAACAAUCAGUCAUCUAUUCAUCUUUGAAUUUUAAUUUUUUUGAUGGAUCGACGUUAUAAAAUAUAAUGAUUUCCUCAUUUUAAACAAUUGUAAAAAUUCACAAACAAUUACUAAAUUUGUGAAAUUAUAAAAAAGAAAAAUUAAAGAAUUCUUCUUUGACGAGUUAACAUUGUGGCUAAAUAACUGAAAAAGAAAUAACAGGGUGCGUACAAAUUUGAGACAAUCAUUAAUUUUUUAGGUAAAUUAUAUAGAGGGGGAGAGUUAGGGGGAGGGGUCUUUUAUCAUCAUUUGAUUUUUUCUGAUAACCUCGUAGAAGUGCAAGCCCACUACACUCCUAUCCUAAUUAAUCUUCAUAAUCUCCAUAACUUCCGAGGCUAGCAACCACCAUGCUUCAAAGCGAGUUGGUCUGGGAUAAAAUUCACUUGUCUGACAGUGUUCAUGAGUAAAAUGACUGUGGUCCGACUUGAAAAUUGAUAGAUUAAAAUAUUAAUUUUUCGGGAACAUUCAUUUUUUGGGAAGGAGGACAAAUUGACCCCCUGAAAAUUUAGUGGGGUCAAUUGACCCCCCUGAAGUGGAUCCGCCCCUGACCAAAUACUUCCUCCGUUCUAAAAUAUAAUCAAUAAGAUCAACUGAUCAACUGACUAAGAAUAAAUUUUCAAAGUCGAUAGGAAAUAUUUUUAAUUCAAAAGGGAUGCAAUAAUUAACUUUUGAAUACAAUAAAUCUUGAGAAUUACUUUAUAAAAAGUUUAUAAUUUUCAUAAUUAUAGUGUUUAUAACUAAAUAAAUUAAUUACGAUUCUAAGAUCAAAGGCUCAAAGCCAUUUAGAGACUUAGUUUCAUUUUUUAAAAAAAAACCUUUUUGCUUAUUCUAAUUUAAAUUAAUAAUUUCUUUUAAUUACAUGCAAACGGUACUGUGACAUAUUGUUUAAUUGGAUUAUUAAAUACUACUUUUUACACUAAAUAUGAUUACUUAAUUGCAUAAAUCAAAGUAAGCCAACCAUUCUCUCUCACUGUCUCACAUAUACACUGAAAGUCUGCAACACUAAAAAAUUGGUGAAAUCAAGUUUGCGCUUUUAAUUAUAUAGUUGAUAGGUGAUGUAAUAUACAAUAGUAAUUGUACAAUAACUAUUAGUGAAGUCUUGAUACAUUGAUGACUUGAUUUCUUUAUUCUCUAUCUCGAUUUGGCAAUUUCAAUAACUCAUGUAAAUGUAAGCAAUUGUAUUAUAUUAUUCUUUAAUUAAUGUCAAAUUGUCAUUGCGCGAUUAUUAUGACUUUAUUUAUGUAAUUUAUGACAUGAGUUAUAAUUUAUUAAAUUAUUAGUGAUGUAAAUUGUAAUAAUCCAACAAUCAUUGUUAAUUUUUUUAUAAAAAUAUUAAAUUUUUUUUAAUUAAAUUAGAGGUGAAGAAGUACACAUUAUUAUUUAAUAAUUUUUUUUACUCAUAAUCAAUUAUUAAAAAAACAAAAAAGAUGUUUAAGUAAAGAAAAAAGAAAAUUAUUACAAAUUUAACAAUUAUUGAUAAGACAAACUUUAGAAUUUAAUAUGAAAUAACUAACUAUUUGUAUUUAGAAUUUAAAAACACUAAACAUGUAAGAAAUACAAUUCGAACUCGAGCAUCUCACGAGCCGCUUGCAAACCAAUCGAACCGAACUGUUUGCAAACAAAGUCAAACCGAACCACAUGGUUAGCGAACAUGAUCGAUUGAGCAAUCGAACGUGAUACCAUGUGCGAACCCGACCUGACAAGGUGAUCAACUCGAACCGAACUCGAACCAAACUCAAACUGAACAUGUUCACGAACGGUUCGUUUGCAGGCCUAUCAGGGAGUAAACGGACCAAAUAAAUCUGCCUACUCCAGCUCCGAGUCUAUAAUUGCAUUGCCAUAUCCUGAAUAUAAGUCAUGGGUCAUUACUUCCCCGGUGCCCAUGUUGGGGUUAAUUUCUAUGAUAAGAUUUUCAAUAGAAGUACACAGGAUAAGUUGUAGGCUUUUACAAUUUAGUCACUGAAUAUAUAUACGAAUCUGGAUUUUGUUCCUUAUUAAGGAAGAAUUUUUAUACGAGUUCCAAGAUUAUGUUCAAUUUGCUCUAAAAUUUCUUGGCAAUUUAAAAGGUUUAACUCCUUAACGCAUGAAUUGUUCUUCUUGCAUAUUUUCUCCUUGUAUGUGUAGUCUAAUUGGUGCAAGUGAUAGGGGACCUAGUUAUGAUAUUUGCUUCUUCAUGUUGUGUCAUUUUUGCUCAGUGGCUAAGGUUUAGCAUUUGUUGGUUUCUCAGCAUUCCUUGACUAUUAUGAUGUGCCCUACAAAGUUGUGGAGGUGAAUCCACUAAGCAAGAAGGAAAUCAAAUGGUCUGAUUAUAAGAAGGUGCCUAUAUUGAUGGUGGAUGGUGAACAGCUGAAUGAUUCAUCAGGUUCUUACCAUCAUUACCCCAAGUGAUUUAUAUUUUUCUUGUUCUUGUUAGUUGGAUUUCUGAUAUUAAAUGUACUACACAGCAACAAGGAGAUUAUUGAUCUAUUGCUAGUUCCUUUUGCGGGAAUAAUAUUUCCACAUGGAAACUUUUAUAUUUCCACAAGGUCCUCCAUAUAGUAAAUGGAUCCCACUUUUAUCUGUUUAUGUGAGAAAUUAACUUAUGAAAGAUCAAAUUCCCUUGUGGAAAUAAAAUCCUUUUGCCCUCUUUUCUAAUAAGUCGUAUUCUGGCCUUCUUGCAGCAAUUAUUAAUAAAUUGGGCGAAAAAAUUAAUCCCGAGAAAUCUGUUAAAGCAGUCCCAGAUGACGAUGAAGAGAGAAAGUGGCGCCGGUAUUUUGUAUUUUAUUUUGUAUUUCUUUAUAGCACAUGCUCAACUUUCAAAUAAUUAAAUGAGUUAGUUUGAUUAGCAAAUUGGGUUUGACUUGAUUUUAACUACAAUACACACCUCGGUAUUCUCCUUCCUGUAGUUGUAUUGUUUUCUUUGCUCAAUAAAUAAAAUAUAUGGAAUGAGUAUACAUGUGGCUGUCUGGAUAAUGUUGAUGAUAGGGUUCUCUGCUGGUUAAUUAUACAACCUCUGUCCCUCAAAGAUUGAUUCAAGUGCAAAAAUUUUUUUGCCCUCGAAAGAAUGGC